UACAGAGGUCCCAAGCGUUGUUCGGAUUCACUGGGCGUAAAGGGUGCGUAGGCGGUCGGAUAAGUCUGAUGUGAAAUCUUCGAGCUCAACUCGGAAACUGCAUCGGAAACUAUUCGGCUGGAGGAUUGGAGGGGAGACUGGAAUUCUCGGUGUAGCAGUGAAAUGCGUAGAUAUCGAGAGGAACACCAGUGGCGAAGGCAAGUCUCUGGACAAUUCCUGACGCUGGAGGCACGAAAGCUAGGGGAGCAAACAGG
rnacentral:rRNA from 1 species